rnacentral:rRNA from 1 species
GGUUAGAGUUUGAUCCUGGCUCAGAGCGAACGCUGGCGGCAGGCCUAACACAUGCAAGUCGAGCGCCGUAGCAAUACGGAGCGGCAGACGGGAGAGUAACACGUGGGAACGUGCCCUUCAGUUCGGAACAACCCAGGGAAACUUGGGCUAAUACCGGAUAAGCCCUUACGGGGAAAGAUUUAUCGCUGAAGGAGCGGCCCGCGUCUGAUUAGCUUGUUGGUGAGGUAACGGCUCACCAAGGCGACGAUCAGUAGCUGGUCUGAGAGGAUGAUCAGCCUCACUGGGGCUGAGACACGGCCCAGACUCCUACGAGGAGGGCACGCASUUGGGGAAUAUUGGACAAUGGGCGCAAGCCUGAUCCAGCCAUGCSGCGUGGAUUGAUGAAGGYCCUARGSUUGUAAAGUCCUUUCGGCGGGGARGAUAAUGACSGUACCCGCCAGAAGAAGSCCCGGCUAACUUCGUGCCAGCAGCCGCGGUAAUACGAAGGGGGCUAGCGUUGCUCGGAAUCACUGGGCGUAAAGCGCACGUAGGCGGCUUCUUAAGUCAGGGGUGAAAUCCUGGAGCUCAACUCCAGAACUGCCUUUGAUACUGAGGAGCUCGAGUCCGGGAGAGGUGAGUGGAACUGCGAGUGUAGAGGUGAAAUUCGUAGAUAUUCGCAAGAACACCAGUGGCGAAGGCGGCUCACUGGCCCGGUACUGACGCUGAGGUGCGAAAGCGUGGGGGAGCAAACAGGAUUAGAUACCCUGGUAGUCCACGCUGUAAACGAUGGAUGCUAGCCGUUGGGAGGCUUGCCUGUCAGUGGCGCAGCUAACGCAUUAAGCAUCCCGCCUGGGGAGUACGGUCGCAAGAUUAAAACUCAAAGGAAUUGACGGGGGCCCGCACAAGCGGUGGAGCAUGURGUUCAAUUCGAAGCAACGCGCAGAACCUUACCAACCUUUGACAUCCCGGUCGCGGGCACCAGAGAUGGAGCCUUUCAGUUCGGCUGGACCGGAGACAGGUGCUGCAUGGCUGUCGUCAGCUCGUGUCGUGAGAUGUUGGRUUARGUCCCGCAGCGAGCGCMACCCCUGUGUYCUGUUGCCACCCCUUAACUGGGAGCACUCUGGACAGACUGCCUCGCUUCACACGAGGAGGAAGGUGGGGAUGACKUCAAGUCAGWAUGGYCCAUUACGGYCAGGGCGUKCWCACGUACUACAAUGCCCGGCACAAAGGGAAGCAAGAGCGUAAGCUGGAGCAAAUCCCAGAAAACCGGGCCCAGUUCAGAUUGUCGUCUGCAACUCGACGACAUGAAGCUGGAAUCGCUAGUAAUGGCGCAUCAGCUACGGCGCCGUGAAUACGUUCCCAGGCCUUGUACACACCGCCCGUCACAUCAUGAAAGCCGGUUGUACCCGAAGUCGCCCCUUAAAAGGUGCCGAAGGUAUGGCUGGUGAUUGGGAUGAAGUCGUAACAAGGUAACC